UGUGUGUGUGUGUGUGUAUGUAUAGUAAGACCCAUUUGGGAGUGUGUGUGUGUUGUAAGACCCAGUUUAUUUUUGAGCCGAAUAGGAGCGAUCAUGAUCCAGGAACAAGGAUUGAGGUUUCCCUGAAAGGCAUGUCCUACUCCGGAUGUGGUUACUUACGUGAGAACCUGUGUUAGUUACAGAACAAAGGAAAUCACAAAUCGUGGCAUUUACCAAAAAGAAAAAUCAAUUCCCCAGCAAGGGAAGAAUUUCAAGAAAACGUUUGGAGUUGCUCCCAGCCUGUUUCCCACGGAUACCUGUUUCAUUCAUUACCACAGAACUACAAGAAGACACAGGCCGGGUGUAUUGCCAAUUCACUAAUUCAACAGCAGUAAAGACUUUGUUUAGAGAGGCC